AUUGAACGCUGGCGGCAGGCCUAACACAUGCAAGUCGAGCGGCUCGCCGGACGCGUGAGUUAUGCCUAGGACUCUGCCUGUUACUGGGGGAUAACGUCCGCUACUGGACGCUGAUACCACAUACUCUCAGCUGAGCCUAGGUCGGAUUAGCUAGUUGGUGGGGUAAAGGCCUACCAAGGCGACGAUCCGUAGCUGGUCUGAGAGGAUGAUCAGUCACACUGGAACUGAGACACGGUCCAGACUCCUACGGGAGGCAGCAGUGGGGAAUAUUGGACAAUGGGCGAAAGCCUGAUGCAGCCAUGCCGCGUGUGUGAAGAAGGUCUUCGGAUUGUAAAGCACUUUAAGUUGGGAGGCGUUACCAACAGAAGAAGCACCGGCUAACUUCGUGCCAGCAGCCGCGGUAAUUC
rnacentral:rRNA from 1 species